GUCAUGCCAAUGGCACUGCCCGGUAGCUAAAUGCGGAAGAGAUAAGUGCUGAAAGCAUCUAAGCACGAAACUUGCCCCGAGAUGAGUUCUCCCUGACUCUUUAAGGGUCCUGAAGGAACGUUGAAGACGACGACGUUGAUAGGCCGGGUGUGUAAGCGCAGCGAUGCGUUGAGCUAACCGGUACUAAUGAACCGUGAGGCUUAACCUUACAACGCCGAAG
rnacentral:rRNA from 1 species